rnacentral:rRNA from 1 species
CGAGCGAACAGACGAGGAGCUUGCUCCUCUGACGUUAGCGGCGGACGGGUGAGUAACACGUGGAUAACCUACCUAUAAGACUGGGAUAACUUCGGGAAACCGGAGCUAAUACCGGAUAAUAUAUUGAACCGCAUGGUUCAAUAGUGAAAGACGGUUUUGCUGUCACUUAUAGAUGGAUCCGCGCCGCAUUAGCUAGUUGGUAAGGUAACGGCUUACCAAGGCAACGAUGCGUAGCCGACCUGAGAGGGUGAUCGGCCACACUGGAACUGAGACACGGUCCAGACUCCUACGGGAGGCAGCAGUAGGGAAUCUUCCGCAAUGGGCGAAAGCCUGACGGAGCAACGCCGCGUGAGUGAUGAAGGUCUUCGGAUCGUAAAACCCUGUUAUUAGGGAAGAACAAAUGUGUAAGUAACUAUGCACGUCUUGACGGUACCUAAUCAGAAAGCCACGGCUAACUACGUGCCAGCAGCCGCGGUAAUACGUAGGUGGCAAGCGUUAUCCGGAAUUAUUGGGCGUAAGCGCGCGUAGGCGGUUUUUUAAGUCUGAUGUGAAAGCCCACGGCUCAACCGUGGAGGGUCAUUGGAAACUGGAAAACUUGAGUGCAGAAGAGGAAAGUGGAAUUCCAUGUGUAGCGGUGAAAUGCGCAGAGAUAUGGAGGAACACCAGUGGCGAAGGCGACUUUCUGG